UCUGAGAAAGUACUUAUUCUGGCGGCGUUACCAGCGGCUCCGGCGUCUGUAUCGACUCUACAGUAUAAAUAUAUAUACACAUCGGAUCGCAAAUAAAUACAUUUUACUGGAACAUAAUAUACAUAUAUAUAUCCUCACACACAUCCUGACUAAAUUAUACACGACGAAGAGGAGCACUUUAGGUUAACAGUGAUCUUUCUCGAAUUUUUGUCAUAAUGAAAACGAUAAAAUCCUUACCAAAGGAAUUGAUACCCAUCAUUCUCGGCUACAAGGAUAUCACCAUCGAGGAUAUUAUUAAUUUCCAAUGCGUUUGCAAACAAUUUCGUUAUGUAGCCAGCUAUGCAAAGUAUUGGGACAGAAAAUUUUCUCAAAGGUGGCCUUUUUUAAAUGAAUAUUGUGACGUAUUGUUUAAGACUAUUAAAAAUCGUAGAAAAUGCAAAUCCAAGAAAAAAAUUAUAAAAUUUAUGAAAUUGGGUAUCAAUUAUACGAGACAAUUACGAAAAUACGUGUCUCAUAUAAAAUAUAUCCAUUAUCACAAUGAAACAAUCGAUAAU